GAUGCAACGCGAAAAACCUUACCCACCUUUGACAUGUACGGAAUCCUUUAGAGAUAGAGGAGUGCUCGAAAGAGAGCCGUAACACAGGUGCUGCAUGGCUGUCGUCAGCUCGUGUCGUGAGAUGUUGGGUUAAGUCCCGCAACGAGCGCAACCCUUGCCAUUAGUUGCUACGAAAGGGCACUCUAAUGGGACUGCCGGUGACAAACCGGAGGAAGGUGGGGAUGACGUCAAGUCCUCAUGGCCCUUAUAGGUGGGGCUACACACGUCAUACAAUGGCUGGUACAAAGGGUUGCCAACCCGCGAGGGGUAUUU
rnacentral:rRNA from 1 species